GACGAACGCUGGCGGCGUGCUUAACACAUGCAAGUCGAACGGAAAGGCCCUGCUUUUGUGGGGUGCUCGAGUGGCGAACGGGUGAGUAACACGUGAGCAACCUGCCCUUGGCUUUGGGAUAACUUCAGGAAACUGGGGCUAAUACCGGAUAGGAGCUCCUGCUGCAUGGUGGGGGUUGGAAAGUUUCGGCGGUUGGGGAUGGACUCGCGGCUUAUCAGCUUGUUGGUGGGGUAGUGGCUUACCAAGGCUUUGACGGGUGGCCGGCCUGAGAGGGUGACCGGCCACAUUGGGACUGAGAUACGGCCCAGACUCCUACGGGAGGCAGCAGUGGGGAAUAUUGCACAAUGGGCGGAAGCCUGAUGCAGCAACGCCGCGUGCGGGAUGACGGCCUUCGGGUCGUAAACCGCUUUCGCCUGUGACGAAGCGUGAGUGACGGUAAUGGGUAAAGAAGCACCGGCUAACUACGUG
rnacentral:rRNA from 1 species